rnacentral:rRNA from 1 species
UAUGUUCAACGGCCGCGGUAUUUUGACCGUGCAAAGGUAGCGCAAUCACUUGUCUUUUAAAUGAGGACCUGUAUGAAUGGCAUAACGAGGGCUUAACUGUCUCCUUUUUCAAGUCAAUGAAAUUGAUCUUUCCGUGCAGAAGCGGGAAUAAAAACAUAAGACGAGAAGACCCUGUGGAGCUUAAGACACUAAAACAGCCCUUGUAAAACCCCCUAAAUAAAGGAAAAAACUAAAAGAGCCCUGUCCUAAUGUCUUCGGUUGGGGCGACCGCGGGGAAACAAAAAACCCCCACGUGGAUUGGGAAAUCUUUAUACUUAACUCCUAAAAAUAAGAGCUCCCGCUCUAACAAACAGAAUAUCUGACCAAAAAUGAUCCGGCAACGCCGAUCAACGGACCAAGUUACCCCAGGGAUAACAGCGCAAUCCCCUUUUAGAGCCCAUAUCGACAAGGGGGUUUACGACCUCGAUGUUGGAUCAGGACAUCCUAAUGGUGCAGCCGCUAUUAAGGGUUCGUUU